CCCUUAGAUGUCCUGGGCCGCACGCGCGCUACACUGACAUGUUCAACAAGUUUCUCCUAGUUCGACAGGACUGGGAAAUCUUUGAACGCAUGUCGUGAUAGGGAUAGAUCAUUGCAAUUAUUGAUCUUGAACGAGGAAUUCCUAGUAAACGCGGGUCAUCAGCUCGCAUUGAUUACGUCCCUGCCCUUUGUACACACCGCCCGUCGCACCUACCGAUUGAAUGUUUCGGUGAAGAUUCCGGAUAGGACUGAUUUGAUUUAUUUCAUUUCUGACCUAAAAGCUAUCUAAACCUCAACAUUUAGAGGAAGGUGAAGUCGUAACA
rnacentral:rRNA from 1 species